AAUAAGCUAUGAACGAAGAAAACAGUGAACAUAUUCGAAGAAUGAUAUCGUUGGCAUAAGAUACCUUACAUCCCACCCAGUACAUUUCUCAAUCAUUCGAUUUACUUGUUGUGAAAAUAGUACGACUCAAACACAUUUUAUAAAACUCAGUCACUCCUAUGUGAGGUAUAUGUAAUAGCACCGAACUUGUCCGAAUCAUGGACUACGUGCAUCUUCAAGCGACCUCUCCAAUAACCGGGACAAGAAAAACUCCGUAAUUGUACCUUAUGGGCUAUCGGUUCCUGUGGUUAUAAAGCUUCCUAAUUCGAUCCAUGGUGAAAUCACUUUAAGAAAAGGCCAAGGAUACAUUUCACUCCAUCAGUUUAUAGGCCCUAGAAAUAUCUGUAGCACAUCUUUUCCCUUGGAUUGCAACACCAAGAUGGGGAAGAUCAUCAAGAGCAAAUAUUCUAUCGACUGAUCAACUAAGGAAACAAAUAAUAAUCGAACCAGAUAUAGUUUGGACUAAUUGUUUUUAAUCACACCAAAUACAGAGCGAUAUGAAUAUUUGGUAUUCAUUCUGGAUACACCCCACAUCAUAAGCUAUUCUCAAGAAAUUGAAUGCAAGUGGUAUCAGUCUGUAUUGUGUGAUCGUUCAAGUCAUAGUAAAAUAAAACUUCAUUCAAACACAAAGCUUUGUUGACUGUUGUCUGCUCGUGUUUUAAACGGGAUUUAAUUUAAAGGAGGCUUAUGAGUCUUUGAAAGCCACCUUGAUAACUUAUAAAAGUUUGCAAUAUAUAAAAUGGGAAGGCAGGAAGUUAUACCAUCUUUUGGUUUUAGAAUAUGAAAAAUGUAUCCUAAAGCUUAUGACGACUCACGGCAAUUGGUUCUUUAAAAUUUGAUUAAACAAUAAAAAUGUAAUUUUUUUUAAACCUAUUUUAAUAAAAAUAUAUAAAAACAUG